rnacentral:lncRNA from 1 species
UUUUGUUUUGUUGAGCCCGCUAGUUUUUUUUGGUUAAUUCUCAAUCAAUCAAACAAUAUUAUUUUUGUUAAUUAAUAAAAUAGAAACCUUCUAUCUCUUUCACAACAACUCAGAACCAUUCCUAUCAAACCCUUUGCACCUUCAACCCCCAAAAUCUGAUCGAACCCUACUGAAACUUCAGAACCAAAGUAACAAAGAAAAAAGGGCAAUGGAGUUACAGAACUCAUACCCACACAACACUCUCUUGGUGUAGAUCAGAGUCUCUCUUUCCUCUCUUCUCGGAUUUUGAUCUCUGAUUUCGAUCCCUGAAUCCCCCAAUUCCGGCAAAUCGAUUCAUCAAAUCCUUCUCUUGCAAUUCGAUCUGAUUCAACUUUCCCGGCGAACACACUCAAUCAUCGAUUGUGAAUCCUUUCUCUACAGGAAUGUUAUUGAGGUUUCUGUUCUUGUGCUACUUCAUGAAUCUUUUUUCUAGGAGUUGGAGUAAUUAGGCACAAUGCAAAGUUCAUAUGAUAUUGAGCAAGCAUUAUUUAGAAGUGCAUGGUAUGGAGGAAGAUGUCUAGCGAGUGGAAGUGCACUUAAGAUAGUUUUUUCUUCAUCAGAUAAAUAAUGAUGGUAUCGAUUAAUAAUUUCAAGAUUUGGAAGCACAAGACGAUGAGUUAGAUGUUUGAUGGUUACGAUUUUUUUACAGAUGUUAUUUUGAUUGUGGUCAAUAAUGAUUGGCCUUAUGUCUUUUUUUUUUUUUUUUAGGGAGUUUGCCUUAUGUCUCACUAUGUACCUUUAAGACUUGAGUACUUAUUUUGACAAAUAUUUGAAGGUUAAUAAUAACAAUUAACACAGUUUCUAAUUUUAUUUUUUUUCAAAUUGUUUUAUCACAACGGUUAAAAACGGUAGCAGUAGCUUAUUAUGACUCAUUUUAAAACUGCUCUAUCAAAACGGUUUCAGUUAUACCAACGGCAGAUACGUGUUUGGAUAGCAAUUUAUAAACCGUUUUGCAAUA